UACGUAGGAGGCGAGCGUUGUCCGGAAUUACUGGGCGUAAAGAGCGCGUAGGCGGCACGGUACGACCGGUGUGAAAGCCCCCGGCUCAACUGGGGAGGGUCACCGGUAACGGCCGAGCUAUGAGUGCAGGAGAGGGAAGUGGAACUCCGGGAGUAGCGGUGAAAUGCGUAGAGACCCGGAGGAACACCAGUGGCGAAGGCGGCCUCCUGGUCUGCAACUGACGCUGUGGCGCGAAAGCUAGGGGAGCAAACAGG
rnacentral:rRNA from 1 species